rnacentral:rRNA from 1 species
GCCCGUGGCGGGGUGCUAUACAUGCAAGUCGAACGAACUCUGGUAUUGAUUGGUGCUUGCAUCAUGAUUUACAUUUGAGUGAGUGGCGAACUGGUGAGUAACACGUGGGAAACCUGCCCAGAAGCGGGGGAUAACACCUGGAAACAGAUGCUAAUACCGCAUAACAACUUGGACCGCAUGGUCCGAGUUUGAAAGAUGGCUUCGGCUAUCACUUUUGGAUGGUCCCGCGGCGUAUUAGCUAGAUGGUGGGGUAACGGCUCACCAUGGCAAUGAUACGUAGCCGACCUGAGAGGGUAAUCGGCCACAUUGGGACUGAGACACGGCCCAAACUCCUACGGGAGGCAGCAGUAGGGAAUCUUCCACAAUGGACGAAAGUCUGAUGGAGCAACGCCGCGUGAGUGAAGAAGGGUUUCGGCUCGUAAAACUCUGUUGUUAAAGAAGAACAUAUCUGAGAGUAACUGUUCAGGUAUUGACGGUAUUUAACCAGAAAGCCACGGCUAACUACGUGCCAGCAGCCGCGGUAAUACGUAGGUGGCAAGCGUUGUCCGGAUUUAUUGGGCGUAAAGCGAGCGCAGGCGGUUUUUUAAGUCUGAUGUGAAAGCCUUCGGCUCAACCGAAGAAGUGCAUCGGAAACUGGGAAACUUGAGUGCAGAAGAGGACAGUGGAACUCCAUGUGUAGCGGUGAAAUGCGUAGAUAUAUGGAAGAACACCAGUGGCGAAGGCGGCUGUCUGGUCUGUAACUGACGCUGAGGCUCGAAAGUAUGGGUAGCAAACAGGAUUAGAUACCCUGGUAGUCCAUACCGUAAACGAUGAAUGCUAAGUGUUGGAGGGUUUCCGCCCUUCAGUGCUGCAGCUAACGCAUUAAGCAUUCCGCCUGGGGAGUACGGCCGCAAGGCUGAAACUCAAAGGAAUUGACGGGGGCCCGCACAAGCGGUGGAGCAUGUGGUUUAAUUCGAAGCUACGCGAAGAACCUUACCAGGUCUUGACAUACUAUGCAAAUCUAAGAGAUUAGACGUUCCCUUCGGGGACAUGGAUACAGGUGGUGCAUGGUUGUCGUCAGCUCGUGUCGUGAGAUGUUGGGUUAAGUCCCGCAACGAGCGCAACCCUUAUUAUCAGUUGCCAGCAUUAAGUUGGGCACUCUGGUGAGACUGCCGGUGACAAACCGGAGGAAGGUGGGGAUGACGUCAAAUCAUCAUGCCCCUUAUGACCUGGGCUACACACGUGCUACAAUGGAUGGUACAACGAGUUGCGAACUCGCGAGAGUAAGCUAAUCUCUUAAAGCCAUUCUCAGUUCGGAUUGUAGGCUGCAACUCGCCUACAUGAAGUCGGAAUCGCUAGUAAUCGCGGAUCAGCAUGCCGCGGUGAAUACGUUCCCGGGCCUUGUACACACCGCCCGUCACACCAUGAGAGUUUGUAACACCCAAAGUCGGUGGGGUAACCUUUUAGGAACCAGCCGCCUAAAGGUUGAACAGAAGUUUG